AUUGGUGACAAUGGCGUAGUGGAUCACCUGUUCCCAUACCGAACACAGAAGUUAAGCACUACAGCGCUGACGAUAGUUCUAACGAGCGAAAAUAAGUCGUUGCCAACU
rnacentral:rRNA from 1 species